ensembl:lncRNA
AGCUAAUGUUUGCAGCUUCUUCAAGCUAUUGUCUCAGUUUUGCUGCUGCUGUGGUUGCCACUUGCUUAUCUGGACUGACUGGUGACCAACACAGUCCCCAGCUCUCUUCUGAAUUCCACUAAAUAAUCAUGAUAGCUGGCUGGGCGCAGUGGCUCAAGCCUGUAAUCCCAGUACUUUGGGAGGCCCAGGUGGGUGGAUCAUGAGGUCAGGAGUUUGAGACCAGCCUGGCCAGCAUAGUGAAACCCUGUCUCUACUAAAAAUACAAAAAAUUAGCCAGGCAUGGUGGCAGGCACCUGUAAUCCCAGCUACACAGGAGGCUGAGGCAAGAGAAUCACUUGACUCUGGGAGGCGGAGGUUGCAGUGAGUCGGGAUCGUGCCACUGCACUCCAGCCUGGGUGACAGAACAAGACUCCAUCUCAGAAAAAAAAAAAAUCAUGAUAGCCUCCCAACUUGGUGUAAUGUUAAUGUGUGUCCUAUUGUGCAUGCUGGGACCAUUUUCAGUGAGAGAUUUACAGUGGCACCGACUCAGCAAAGACUGACUUUUGUGAUAAAAUGAAUUAAUAUUUAUUUAGUGCUUUGCAGGUUAAAAUUACUUCUUAUAUAUUAUCUCAUUUUAUCCUUAUGUUAACCCAGUGAAGUAGAUACAGCAAAUGUUUUUAUCUGUUUUUUUAUUCAUAAGAUUAAAGAAUAUUGUUUGAGAAUGUUCUUACACUUUAAUUUUUUUUUUUUCCCUGUAGGUGAAAUGUCCAGCUUUUAAGUGAAUUGGUAUGGUAUGGUGGCUAGUUCCAAUUGAAAUGGCUAAGCUUCAUCCCUUUGAACUCUCAACUUUUCAGGAACACCUCUGUGACCAAAUGUGUGUGGUGUUUUUCCUAUACACCAAGGAGGCAAUCAGUUCUCAGCAGAUUCUCCAGCGGACACGAGGUGAGUGUCUAAUUCAGUUUAAUUGUGAUACUAUCAACUGGAAGGUCAAACAAGUUGAGGACUCGGUCCCACAAGAUUGUCCUCUACUUCAGAUGCCAGUUUUAAGUCUGGGCCUGCAGAACUUCUGGCCAAUUAGCUAUAAUUUGGGGUUCCCAUAACCUCUUCCUAGGGUUCAAUUAAUUUGCUAGAAUGGCUCAUAGAACUAAGGGAAACACUUCAUUUAUGUUUACUCAUUUAUUAUGAAGGAUAUUACAGAGGAUACAGAUGAACAGCCAGACGGAAGAGAUGCAAGGCAUGUGAUAAGGGUGCAGAGCUUCCAUGCCUUCUCUGGGCGUGUCACCCUUUAGGAACCUCUGCAUAUUCCUUGAAACCUCCCAGAACUCAGUCCUUUUGGGUGUUCAUGGAGUCUUCAUUACAUAGGCAUGAUUGAGUACAUCAUUGGCCAUUGGUCAUCAACUCAACAUUUAGACUGUCCUCUCCCCAGAGGUUAGGGGGUGAAGCUUAAAGUCCUAACUCUUUAAUCAUGUCUUGUUCUUUAUGAUAACCAUUCCCCCAUCUAGAAGCUGUCUAGGAGCCGCUAGCCACCAGUCAUCUCAUUAGCAUACAAAAGACACUCAUAUCACUCUGGAGAUUCCAAGGGUUUUAGGAGAACUUUGCCAGGAAAUGGGGAAGAAGGUCAAAUAUAUAUUUCAUCAUAUCACAGUGGGGGAAAUGCUUAAGGAAUGAAACUGUUUAUUUAAAAAAAACUUCUUCCAAAGCUUCCAAGGCCUUCAUUAUGCUUUGCCUUUUCUUUUAUGACCAAGGAAACCCAAGCUGCACAAGUGAUAAGUAUUGAAGUCUGAUUUUGACCUCAAAUCUUCCCUUCUCUGUGGUAGGCCAUUACAAGGCCGGUUCCAUGGAAAUAUAUGGCAGCCCAAUGGCAUAGCAAAGAUUGAAACAUGACAAUAGCUGGAUUAUACGAAGUGCUCUGUCAAUGCUAAUAGCUGUUAUGUUACUGUCAUGUAUAGAGGAUAAAAUAUAAUUUCUUACCUUUUUUAGGUUCUUAGUUACAGGUACUUAGACAGGCAUGAGCGGGCAGGGGCAGGGGAGGGCUUUCCCUCGCCCACUAGGAAUGUUGGAUGAUGGUUUGGUGAUUAUCACAUUGCCUUUCUAAAUUGGCAGCUGGUGCCAAGGAGAGGUCAUUUCCUGAUGGUCCACACCUGUUGCCCUGAAGUAUUAAUUGAAUGCAGGUGCCAGGGAGAAGCAACUUUCUGGGCAUGCACAUUAAGAGACAAAAUGGCAGAGUAUAACCUUCCAAGGGCACACCACUGGAAAAAGGAAAAAAAACCCUAUAUGAUCAUGUGUACAACUUCCUAAACACACUGCGUGUGCUCACCUCCCAAAGGUAAGGAGGGCACUGUGCAUGUGGACAGCCCACCCUAAGAGAAGAAUCAUGGGAAAGGGGCCAACUUCUUUCUGGAGCUUUCUCUGUGGAUCAUUUUCAGUGAACUGAAAAUGCUAUCAUUAAACUUGGGUUUGGUCAUAAACAGAACUGGCAUUUUCUCCUUCAUUUUCUUAGCACAUCUGAGACUAAAUUUUUCUAAAAAUAUGUAUAUUUAGGCCGGGCGCGGUGGCUCAAGCCUGUAAUCCCAGCACUUUGGGAGGCCGAGACGGGCGGAUCACAAGGUCAGGAGAUCGAGACCAUCCUGGCUAACACGGUGAAACCCCGUCUCUACUAAAAAAUACAAAAAACUAGCCGGGCGCAGUGGCGGGCGCCUGUAGUCCCAGCUACUCGGGAGGCUGAGGCAGGAGAAUGGCGUGAACCCGGGAGGCGGAGCUUGCAGUGAGCUGAGAUCCGGCCACUGCACUCCAGCCUGGGCGGCAGAGCGAGACUCCGUCUCAAAAAAAAAAAAAAAAAAAAAAAAAAAAAGAAAAAAAAAUGUAUAUUUAUUAAUUAAGGAAGGUCAGUUUCUAGUUAUAGCAGUAUGAAGAUGAUCAUGAUUUCUCUUUGCAAAGCAAAUACUAAACUGGGUGAUAUUGUAAAAACCAAACACUUAAGGGCACUGGAAAUUGACCAAAGGUAGACAACAAAUUUAGAAGAGUUUAUUCUGGAAAAUGAAAGUAUUUCAGCUAAGAACAUCAUGCUUAUAUGGCCUGUGGCUCCUCCCAUUC